rnacentral:sRNA from 2 species
UGACCACUCUAUUUUUAGGGUUAAGGCCAUACGGACAGCGGGUCAACUGCCGA